rnacentral:misc_RNA from 1 species
GAUGAAGAACGUAGCAAAAUGCGAUACUUGGUGUGAAUUGCAGAAUCCCGUGAACCAUCGAGUUUUUGAACGCAAGUUGCGCCCGAAGCCUUUUGGCCGAGGGCACGUCUGCCUGGGCGUCACGCAUCGCGUCGCCCCCCACAAUUCUCCGUAAAGGGAACGUGUGUUUUGGGGGCGGAUAUUGGUCUCCCGUGCUCAUGGCGUGGUUGGCCGAAAUAGGAGUCCUUUCGAUGGACGCACGAACUAGUGGUGGUCGUAAAAACCCUCGUCUUUUGUUUCGUGCUGUUGCUCGCAAGGUAAACUCUUUAAAAACCCCAAUGUGUCGUCUCUUGACGACGCUUCGACCGCGACACCAGGUCAGGCGGGACUACCCGCUGAGUUUAAGCAUAUCAAUAAGCGGAGGA